rnacentral:rRNA from 1 species
AUGGGCAAGGACACUAUUGCUGAUUUACUAACCUCUAUAAGAAAUGCGGACAUGAAUAAAAAAGAAACAGUUCGGGUAGUAUCUACAAAUAUUACCGAAAACAUUGUUAAAAUACUUCUACGAGAGGGUUUUAUUGAAAGUGUUCGGAAACAUCAGGAACGUAACAGAUAUUUCUUGGUUUCAACUUUGCGACAUCAAAAGAGACAGACUAGAAAAGGAAUAUAUAGAACAAGAACCUUUUUAAAGCGUAUCAGUCGACCCGGCUUACGAAUUUAUACCAACUAUCAAGGAAUUCCUAAAGUUUUGGGUGGAAUGGGUUGCUAUUCUUUCUACUUCUCGAGGAAUAACGACAGAUGGAGAAGCUCAACUAAACAGAAUUGGGGGAGAAGUCUUAUGUUAUAUAUGGUAAUCGCCUCGCCUAUAGUGCUCGAAUUCUAUCUCGCCCUUCUUAUUUUUUAA